rnacentral:rRNA from 1 species
AGGACGAACGCUGGCGGUAUGCUUAACACAUGCAAGUCGAACGAGAAACUUCGCUUGGAUCCUUCGGGAUGAAAAGUGAGGAAGAAAGUGGCGAACGGGUGAGUAACGCGUGGGCAACCUACCUCACGGAAAGGGAUAGCCUCGGGAAACCGGGAGUAAAACCAUAUAAGACCACAGCGUCGCAUGACGCAGGGGUCAAAACUCCGGUGCCGUGAGAUGGGCCCGCGUCCCAUUAGCUAGUUGGCAGGGUAAAGGCCUACCAAGGCGACGAUGGGUAGCCGGUCUGAGAGGGCGAACGGCCACAUUGGAACUGAGACACGGUCCAAACUCCUACGGGAGGCAGCAGUGGGGAAUAUUGCGCAAUGGGGGAAACCCUGACGCAGCAAUACCGCGUGAGCGAAGAAGGUUUUCGGAUCGUAAAGCUCUGUUAUCGGGGAAGAAGAAGUGACGGUACCCGAUGAGGAAGUCCCGGCUAACUACGUGCCAGCCGCGGC